ACACGUGGGCAACCUGCCUCAUAGAGGGGAAUAGCCUUCCGAAAGGGAGAUUAAUACCGCAUAAGAUUGUAGCUUCGCAUGAAGUAGCAAUUAAAGGAGCAAUCCGCUAUGAGAUGGGCCCGCGGCGCAUUAGCUAGUUGGUGAGGUAACGGCUCACCAAGGCGACGAUGCGUAGCCGACCUGAGAGGGUGAUCGGCCACAUUGGGACUGAGACACGGCCCAGACUCCUACGGGAGGCAGCAGUGGGGAAUAUUGCACAAUGGGGGAAACCCUGAUGCAGCAACGCCGCGUGAGUGAUGACGGCCUUCGGGUUGUAAAGCUCUGUCUUCAGGGACGAUGAUGACGGUACCUGAGGAGGAAGCCACGGCUAACUACGUGCCAGCAGCCGCGGUAAUACGUAGGUGGCGAGCGUUGUCCGGAUUUACUGGGCGUAAAGGGAGCGUAGGCGGACUUUUAAGUGAGAUGUGAAAUACUCGGGCUCAACUUGAGUGCUGCAUUUCAAACUGGAAGUCUAGAGUGCAGGAGAGGAGAAUGGAAUUCCUAGUGUAGCGGUGAAAUGCGUAGAGAUUAGGAAGAACACCAGUGGCGAAGGCGAUUCUCUGGACUGUAACUGACGCUGAGGCUCGAAAGCGUGGGGGAGCAAACAGGAUUAGAUACCCUGGUAGU
rnacentral:rRNA from 1 species